GAAAAAGAAAAGCCGAGAGAAUGUGGCUAUGAAAAUAAAGGCGCAGUUUUCCUCUCACACCUCCAUUUACAAAGAACAAGGAUGAAGUUGCAUCACUAAGGAUUCCAGGCCAAGAACAGAGUGGAAGAGAAAAUCCUAUUGCUUCGGCCAGAGAAUUUCAAAGAAGACCAAGCCCUCCCACUUUUCACCUAAGAGAAUGUGACCAUGUUGGAAAGCAACACAUGUAGACAAUAUUGGAUGGGCUUUUCUCCAAGGAGCAAAGCACAUAGGAAAACAACUAUGGAAUCUAAAUGAAGAGAACUGACCAUGAAACUCUAACUUGGAACAAUUUACUGAGUGUUAAUUGGUUUAAAAAAUGUGUUUAGAGAGUUCAGAUUUGCAAAAGAAGUUAUCAACAUGGAAAGUGCCAUUUCAGCCAACAGUUAAAACUACUUAAUUAAGAAGGUGGAUUUCUCAGGUGUCUCAGUGGUAAAGAAUCCUCCUGCCAAUGCAGGAGACAUGAUUUGAUUCCUGGGUUGACAAGAUCCCCUGGAGUAGGAAAUGGCAACCCACUUCAGAGUUUUUGCCUGAAACGUCCUAUGAACAGAGAAGCUUGGUGAGCUCCAUGGGACUCCAUGAGUCCAUGUGACUGCAAAGAGUCAGAGAUAACUGAGCAUAAACACAAUUAGGAAGAUAAAAUUUCCUUUGAUAAAAUUUUAAGAAAACUGGUUCAAAACAUAGUUUUUUGUAACAUAUCUGAAUGUCCUACCUGAGUUAGAUGCUUGGAUCAUGUGUCAAAAAAGUUAAAAGGCUAAACAUUCUAUCAGUACAAGGAUCUACUGUGAUUCUAGAGUGUGUUUACUAAGAAUAGGAGAAGUAUAAUUAACUGCGGUGUUACUAUAAAGUACCUUGAUAUCUAAAUCACUAAUCUUUGUGCUCAAGUUGUAUGUAAAGACUUGGCCAUGUUACAAAUAAUAUGUCUGAAUCCUAUCCAAUAUUUCCAACUGCCUGCUUGAUAUCUUCAUUUGACUAUCUGAUAAUAACCUGAGCUUAAUACGUACCAAACCGUGUAAAUUACUCUUAUAGUCUUUCCCAUCUUAAUUAGCAACCGUUUCAGUCCUCAGGUCAAAAUAUCUUGCUAUCAUUCUUGAUGUCUUUCUCAUACCCCAUAUAUUGUUCAUGAGACAACCGCAUCAGCUCUAUAUCU
rnacentral:lncRNA from 1 species